rnacentral:rRNA from 1 species
AACGAACGCUGGCGGCAUGCCUAACACAUGCAAGUCGAACGAGACCUUCGGGUCUAGUGGCGCACGGGUGCGUAACGCGUGGGAACCUGCCCUUAGGUUCGGAAUAACUCCCCGAAAGGGGUGCUAAUACCGGAUAAUGUCUUCGGACCAAAGAUUUAUCGCCUUUGGAUGGGCCCGCGUUGGAUUAGCUAGUUGGUAGGGUAAAAGCCUACCAAGGCGACGUUACAUAGCUGGUCUGAGAGGAUGAUCAGCCACACUGGGACUGAGACACGGCCCAGACUACUACGGGAGGCAGCAGUGGGGAAUAUUGGACAAUGGGCGAAAGCCUGAUCCAGCAAUGCCGCGUGAGUGAUGAAGGCCUUAGGGUUGUAAAGCUCUUUUACCCGGGAUGAUAAUGACAGUACCGGGAGAAUAAGCUCCGGCUAACUCCGUG